rnacentral:antisense_RNA from 1 species
AUGAAAAGGGUGUCUUUUCCCUCUGCCUCACCCCUCUCAAUAGUACAAAUAAAACCCCCCACAAGAUUAAAGAAGAGUUAAAGCAAGAAUCCUCAUGACAAGGGGUGGCUACUCUGGCAUUUUCAAGUCUUGAGGUUGCUGUUUUCCAGGGGGUGAUGUGCAGGGGCAGACCUGCCUGACUUGGAUAUCAGCUUGUCCAUGAAAAUAUGCAGUGCCUAAAAUUUACACUGAUCGAUUUGUUCACAAGAAAGGACAUUUCUAAAAGAGCCAGGAGACUGCCCCCAGAACCAAGAGGAGUACUGGAGAGCAAAAGAUGAAGAAAAACCUUUAAACAGCAGAGCAGUGAAGUGGAGGGAGAGGCGGCCCCUCUCCUUUGCCAGAGACUCCCACUCCCAGAUGCAGGCUGGAGCGAUCCCUCAUAAUUUAAGCUGACACCCCUCAGCGGAGAUGAAAGGAACACCACUCGCUGCUCUCCAACAACAAAUGUCAGCAUCCCUGGAGGCCAUUUAGACACAAACGCAGCAUAAAUCUGACUCCUAGUGGGGAAGUCCAGAGAUUAAGUCUCCACGCACAGCCUACCAGAGUGAAAUGAAUUUGCUUGGCACAAAGUUUGAACAUGUUUCUCAGGGCCUUUCUUUCCCCUUUCUUGUAAAAAAAAAAAAUCUGGAAUGGUU